rnacentral:rRNA from 1 species
CAUGUCAGCCGCAAGGCAGUUGUGAAGGUGCUGCAUGGUUGUCGUCAGCUCGUGCCGUGAGGUGUCGGCUUAAGUGCCAUAACGAGCGCAACCCUUAUCGAUAGUUACCAUCAGGUUAUGCUGGGGACUCUGUCGAGACUGCCGUCGUAAGAUGUGAGGAAGGUGGGGAUGACGUCAAAUCAGCACGGCCCUUACGUCCGGGGCUACACACGUGUUACAAUGGGGGGUACAGAAGGCAGCUACACGGCGACGUGAUGCUAAUCCCGAAAGCCUCUCUCAGUUCGGAUUGGAGUCUGCAACCCGACUCCAUGAAGCUGGAUUCGCUAGUAAUCGCGCAUCAGCCACGGCGCGGUGAAUACGUUCCCGGGCCUUGUACACACCGCCCGUCAAGCCAUGAAAGCCGGGGGUACCUGAAGUGCGUAACCGCAAGGAGCGCCCUAGGGUAAAACUGGUGAUUGGGGCUAAGUCGUAACAAGGUAGCCGUACCGGAAGGUGCGGCUGGAUCACCUC